UACGUAGGGGGCAAGCGUUAUCCGGAAUUAUUGGGCGUAAAGAGCUCGUAGGCGGUUUGUCGCGUCUGCUGUGAAAACUGGGGGCUCAACCCCCAGCCUGCAGUGGGUACGGGCAGACUAGAGUGCGGUAGGGGAGAUUGGAAUUCCUGGUGUAGCGGUGGAAUGCGCAGAUAUCAGGAGGAACACCGAUGGCGAAGGCAGAUCUCUGGGCCGUAACUGACGCUGAGGAGCGAAAGCGUGGGGAGCGAACAGG
rnacentral:rRNA from 1 species